GAAGAUUUGGAAGAAGGCAGGUCAGAGUGGUAACUGGGUGGGGGGUUAUGUGCCUGUGGCUCUUCAGGAUUCCUAUCACCAGAGCACUGAGUCCCCAGCAAAACUAUGGUUUUGCCUUUCACAUUUUCCCCUGGGAAUCAAUAAAUACAUCCAUUUAUUCAGCCAACAGGAGCUGGGCACCUACUCCCUACUCUGCCCCCACUACUGUGUUAGGGCUAAGGAUGUAAGUCUAAUGGAAGAGACAGACAGGAGACACGGGAGGACAAAGCCACAGUGACUCUCAGGUCAUUUGGGAAAACAAAAACACAAAAGGCUUUGUAACGUCCCAUGCUGCCGGGAGACUGCAGCCCCAGACCGUGGAUCAUGGCAUGGACGGGAGUGUCCUCUGAUUACAGACGUUGGUGGCAUUUCCAUCUUCACCUCCCCAGUGAGCUGUGGAAAUUGAUUGAGUUCAGGCUGGGGACCCUGAAGCUGCUACAUAAAUGCUGAAAUCAUUAAGCUUCAGAGCGUGUAACAUUCUGCUUGUGGCCUUGGGGCCGGAAGACCAGCUGUUGCACCUGAGAGAGACACGGCGAGAGAAGGAAUACAAGCAAGGGGAGUGAGAGAGGGAGAAGCAGGCUUCCCGCUGAGGAGGGACCCUGAUGCAGGGCUUGAUCCCAGGACCCCGGGAUCAUGACCUGAGCUGAAGGCAGACGCUUAACGACUGAGCCACCCAGGUGCCCCAGGGCUUUGUCUUCAUGGAGAGGAAAAUCUUUCCCAGAAGUGAAGACACAGCCAGGAGACAGACACAGGAAGUGGGCUCUCGCCAGACGCUGUGUCUGCCAGCUCCGUGAACUUGGACUUCCCAGCUUCCGGAACGAGAUGGUGAAAAUUCACUGAGGCAGAACGAGAGAGGGCCUAAUGAAUUUCUAGUGGGCCCUACCAAUCCACUGGAUUGACCAUCCUGGUUCAAUUCACUCCUUUGCUCUUCAUUAUGUUCAGGUUUUCCUGCCAUAACCUCAUGUUCACAGCUACCCAAGGGAAUAAGGUCCUCUGGGCUCUGAUCACAAACCCAGAACUCAGGCCUGCCUCCACCCAGCAACUCAGCAACGAGUGGACGCAUACCCUGGGGACCCAUCUGGAACUUUUUUCUGUCCCACUUCCUUUGGGUGGCAAGGAGUGGUCUGUGAUGCCAAUUGCCUGGGACUGCAUCUGAGUGGUGGCUGGCUGGCUAUUUGACAGCUCCUUGACUGAAAGGGGAUGAGACCAUGGGUCUGUCCUAAAGAAGCUCUCCAUCGGGACCGGCCCUGGAUUCUAAGUCCAGCUCCUUCUGUAACACGCUGGGAGACCUUGAGUUUGUCACUUACACUCUCUGAGCCUCUGUGUCUUCAUCAUCAUGUGAAUUUGCCACCAAGUUAAAAACCUUCAGCACUCAUUUUUCACGUGGUCAGCCAGGCGAGCAGUGUCUUGGGGUGUCAACCGUGCAAACGCCUUCACUUAAUGAACUUUGACACAGCUCUGAGGAGCAAUGCUGUGCUUGAGUGCUUCCAGUAUCAGGUGCGCUCAACUCCUACUUGUACUUACUAUAAUUCCUUUUAAUCUUCUGUGGAGAAAACGAGACAAAGCCUACAAGUAGUCAAGAGAUUCUGAGAUAAUCUUGUUGGCAAACCUGUCAGUAAAAUCAGUCACUAGUUUCUUCUAAGGGCUGGCAGUAUUCUGGAACAUCUCAUGGAGGCUCAAAGAGGGAAGCAUUGAGAAAGACUGACAGCAUCCUCCUGGUGAGGUCUGUGUUCUUUAGAUGGGCUUGUGUUAUGAACAGCAAAACACUAGAUGCUGAUUUCCGCUGGGAAUGUUCUGUGUUCUCUGAAGACUAAUAUGGUGCUAUGAGCUGAAUUGAGUCCCCCCGAAAUUUUUACAUUGAAGCCCUCCCCCCACCGAGUGGAUGGUAUUUGAAGGUGGAGACUUUGAAAAGUUAUAGGUUUAAAUGAGGUCAUGAGGGUGGAACCCUCAUGAGGUGAUUAGUGCCCUUAUAAGAGACCCCAGAGUGCUUGCUUUGCUUUUCCUCCUUCUCCCCACACCCCGCCCCCACCAUCUCACCACCACCCCCUGGCCAGGUGAGGAUAGAGUGAGGUCUACAAGGCAGGAGAAGAGCCUUUACUGGGGAACUGAAUUGGCCAGCACCUUGAUACUGGACUUUCCAGCCUCCAGAAGGGUGACAAAAUAAAUUCCUGCCAUUUAAGUCAACCAGUCUAUAGUAUUUUAGUUAUGGCCACCCAAGCUGACUAACACAAACAGGAUUAAGUGAUAGCAGGGUAUAAGGGAGCAGGAUAAGCUUCACUGAGGAAGGCAUUUUUUUUUUUAAAGAUUUUAUUUAUUUAUUUGAGCCA